rnacentral:lncRNA from 1 species
GGAAAGAAGAGAGUGAGCCGGGCAAACUCCAUUUUUUGCGCCAUUAUGUGUAACUUAACGUUUUUCCGACAUAAUUUUUCGUCUUUUCAUUGCAUAACUGAGAUAAAAGCUUUCUCUUGAGCACUGCAUAUUUCGAGUGGAAGAUUCCGAAGAUUUCUGGCCAUGCUGAAUAUUACUAAAAGAAAUUGUAUCGAAAAUCUGCGUUUUUUGCACAUGAUGCAUCAUAAUUGGACUAUUUGGGGUUAAAAGGAACCAUGUCACACGCAAACCCUAUGCUCAUUGUUCCUUUUAGCAUAGAUACGUCCAAUUGAGGCGUUGAGUGCAGAAAGGUAUGAUACAUAGGUAUCAAUAUUUUGGGAUGAAUUAAUUUUGGAUCUCAGAUUCUGAGGGGACACUAAAGUUAUCUAUUUUGUAGCUUGCAUAAAAACAUACAUACAUAGAGCCGUUUUCUAUAGCGCAGCCUCGCGCUCUGCGACGCCCAAACGCCAUUGCCCCCUAUCCUCCCAAGAUCAUCAGGCAAUUGACACCUUCUGAUCUCCUCCUCCACCCCUUGUCGCCAACCUUUCACAGGACGUCCACGCCGUCGCCUAACAUAAAAAAUAAGAUACCAAUUUGUUUUAAAAUUUAAAAUUUCGGGAAUCAAUUAUUCAAAAAAAAAAAACUAACAAUUCGCCAAAAUCAUGCCACAGAGGAAAGAUUCAAUGUUUAAAACCCCUAAAAUACGUAGUUAAGAAUUCGAAACGCAAUGCCAUUAAACUCGAUCUAUUUUUUUCUUCAGGGCAACAUACAUUUGAAUCAUGCUAAGGGCGAUCUGUACUCGGACUUCAACAAAUCCAAUCCAAAUAAGUUCAAAGACACCCCAGGAGCUAUUGGCCGACCACAAGUCAUUAUUUCGAUGGUUCUCGGAGGAGUGGUGCUGGACGUGGGAUGUGGUCCAGGUGACGUCACUCGUCACGUUCUCUAUCCGUGGCUCCCGGAAAACGCAAACAAGACCGUACUCGGAGUAGACGUUUCUCCCGUCAUGAAGGACUUAGGCAAUAAAAAGUUCGGUCAUCCAGACGUUUUCUUCGAGACCUUCGACGUUUCUGGCAAAAACUUGGCUGUCAUUACAGAGGACGAAAGUUUAGAGACGGCUUCACGAAGAUAUUCUCGUUUCACGUCUUCCACUGGAUCAAUGAUCUCGAGCUGGCUUUUCAGAACGUGUAUAAACUCUUGA